AAAACCCAGCAGACGGGACAGAAGGGCAAUCUCUCAAGUCAGAUAUACAUGUAAAUGUAGGCCAUGAGGGAGGAGUUGGAGAUGUUCAGUAUCCAAUUAAGAUUCAAUCAGCAAGUGGUGGUGAAGGUGAUGGAUCUUCCUCUGAAACAGAUUUGCUUAUCAAGGGUCGCCACUUUUUACCAGGGAAUGGUGGCUCGAGCCCUAGCACAGAG